UACGGGGGGGGCAAGCGUUGUUCGGAAUUACUGGGCGUAAAGGGCUCGUAGGUGGCCAACUAAGUCGGACGUGAAAUCCCUCAGCUUAACUGGGGAACUGCGUCCGAUACUGGAUGGCUUGAGUUUGGGAGAGGGAUGCGGAAUUCCAGGUGUAGCGGUGAAAUGCGCAGAUAUCGGGAGGAACACCAGUAGCGAAGGCGACACUCUGGGCCGGUACUGACGCUGAGGAGCGAAAGCGUGGGGAGCAAACAGG
rnacentral:rRNA from 1 species